GUUCCAAUGAGGAAGAAUUCCCCAAUAAAGAUAGGAAGUGCCGUAUGACACAUUAAACAGCAGCGGAUUACGGCUGCGCGUCGUCUCAUCCACCAAUUGGCAGGUCCUCCGAUCCUAACCCGAUCUUAUGGGUUUGUUCUUUGGUCGAGAUUCGUGAUUUUGCCGUUUCCGUUGUGUGGGUGAUUUGGAACGGGUCUCUGAGGAAU